UAAUGAUUGGGAAGGCCCAGGGAACAGUCCAGAUUGUGCCCUUUUAAAGCGACGGGCAAGAUGGCGUCACUAGCUUAAUUGCGCAUGCGUACUUUCUAUGACCCCUAUAGAUGACCCCAAAAUCAAGAUGGCGACGGAAAACCCGGAAGCGUUCUUGUUGAGUUGAAGCUCACAUGUGUAACGGGGAAGCCUCCACGUCUGAAACAUGGAAGAAUUUCCUGGGAAAGCCGAGAUGACGAUGAUAGACCACUUUAAGUAAUGGCGGAUUUGACAUGGGAGAACAUGCGGAAUUUUUUUUCUGUGGCACUUUCGGUCGAGAAGAAGAAAACUGAUCAAUACGGAUUCUAAAGGCAAAGAUUGAUAAACACCAGGAUACCAUGCAGACAUGAUGGUGAUCGCCAGAAAGGACCUAAUUGCAAACCGGAAAGAAGAGGCCAAGUUCCGAAGUAAGUGAAAGAGAAAG